UAAAGGUCCAGAAUUUAAUAUCCACAGGGUCCUCUUCUGUGGAGUAGUAGAGCCCAGAACAGCGUAACAUAACAAUCAAAAACACAAAAACAAGUCGCCAUGACUCUCGGGCGGUUCUAACUUAAAUGAUGUCGAUCUUCUGAUUGGAUGCUUGUACGGGGUGCUGCUCCAAUCAGGCUCCUCCAUAUCUCAGAGGAAAGGAUGACGCAGAUGGCGACGCCUCAUAUAGUUCAGGGCCAAUCAGAGGCCGGAGAUCACACAGCUAUCUUUGCAUAAUGACGACUUCACACAACGUUACAAGAAGACACGCCGGCGGCUUCCCAUCGCUUUAAGACAAAAACUACCAACUAGCAUUAUUUCACGUCUAAAAUCAACGACAUUAAAUUACAAUAUCGUUGACAUUUGAUAUUUUGAGGCGUGUCAAUCAAAGUCUAUACUGACAAAUUAGUGACGGCUCAAUCUAACUGUAACAUGAUUUAACUGACCGUCAGUUAUCGUGAUUCUGUAUCCGGGUUAGGCGUCAGGUCCUGUCGGAGAUAAGAUUGUUUCACUCAAAAGCAUCACAGAGUUGGUUUGUAACACUCAAUCUGAUUGUCGUGAGUUUCACUAGAAAGUUUUAGUCUGACAACCAUGGUCGUACAAUCUCUAGCACCACCUUAGCAGCAUGUUCGGAAGUGUUUAGCAUCAUAGUUUAACAUGUGAACGUCUGCUAAUUUGCAAUAAACCUAUAAAAGUAGGUGAAUCCGAGAGGAAGGUCAUCGCGGCUUAAUGCCGCUUAAUGUUCGAGCUUCGCCGCGAUCGCCAGAGCAGAUCGCAGCCGUUCUAGACGACGUUUGCAAUUCGAGUUUCGAAAUAAAACACCAUGUUCUGACUUCAGAUCGUAAAAACAGCUCAAAGUUGACAACUUAUUCAUGGUAGAACCAAAAAAAAACAAAAAAAUGUGGUUGCCCAAAAUUCUUCUGGAAUGCUCUUGGUGGGACCAAAACUUGUUCCCGGUUGGAUUCAGGGUUCAAGGGACUGGCAGAAUUAUGGAAGUACCAAAGACUGCAGUUCUCCGUAUGCCCCAAUGUUAAAAUCUCCAACUUCACAGCAGAGAUAAAUGUGUUUACAGCCUGGUACUGAGAUGGCGAUGGACACAGAUUUUAAGCUGGGUCAGUUCAGAAACGUGUAGGUGACGUCACGCAUUCGCCGUCCAGCCUUUAUACUGUCAGUGGCUUCAGGUUAUAUCCUGUGGUGACAAGCUCGUGUGGGGAAAGGAAGCAACAUAAACCAGCUGUGAAUUUGGAUUAAAGGUCCAGAAUUUUCAGAAUAAGGUGGACACCGGGCUAUCCCGACAGAGACGUGAAUGUUUGGGCUCAAUUUAAUGCCGUUCACCAACCUCAUUGCAGCCCUAGCCGGGGCCAAUGGCGUGAAUAUCAGUUCAUAUCUCAGGCGUCACAAGGUUGAAGUUGAAAUAAAACACAUUGGGUCACCUCAAAUGUUAAACAAAAGGUGUUUCUGUCAUGCAGAAGCUCUAUUUUUUUAUAUUAAUAUCUAGUUUUAUAUUGGUUUAAACCGUAUUUUACUCGAGUACUUCAGAAGGCAACGCGUCGUGAGCGGUGGAGACUUUGUCGUCUUUGAGUCAGGAGUCGUUUUUUUCAGCACACGGCGUCAAACCAAACCAUGUUUGAUACGCGAGGCUAAAGAGUGACAAAAAAAAAAAAAGAAAAGAAAGAAGGAAGACACACAAAAUUAACAAAAGUGUGUGUGCGACGUCGAGAGAAGUGAGGAGGAAGGAGGAUAACGUUAAAACGAUGCGAAGCCGAGAUGUAGAGGUAUCAUCAUCAUCAUCAUCCUGGCAACCGGAUGACUGCGGUGCCAGAGCCGCGUGGUGACUUCCUGUUUGUCAGCAGCAUACAGGAAGUAAGAGGCCCUUAGAGGUUGAUGUGUGUGUGUGUGUGUGUGUGUGGGUGUGUGUGUGUGUGUGUGUUUGUAUGCAUGAAUAAAAACGUCUUUGAGUUUUAAGUGUAGGAAAGCACUGAGAGAGAUUUUACCGUGAGGUGUAACUGUGGAUGUUUUUGUCCGUGUUGCUGUAAAUCAAUCAGGGUCGAUGACUUUGCGUGGACAAAAGGAAGGCACAAAUAAACUGUCUGCAUCCACAA